rnacentral:rRNA from 1 species
UACAGAGGGUGCGAGCGUUGUCCGGAAUCACUGGGCGUAAAGGGCGCGUAGGUGGCACGACAAGUCAGUGGUGAAAGCUCGACGCUCAACGUCGAGUCGGCCACUGAUACUGUUGAGCUGGAGCACUGUAGAGGCUAAUGGAAUUCCGGGUGUAGCGGUGGAAUGCGUAGAGAUCCGGAAGAACACCGGUGGCGAAGGCGGUUAGCUGGGCAGUUGCUGACACUGAGGCGCGACAGCGUGGGGAGCAAACAGG